ensembl:lincRNA C230029F24Rik RIKEN cDNA C230029F24 gene
AUACUUAAUUGAGAUAUGGUCCAAGAAAGCAGGAAACAAAGCAAUGUAGGUCAGAAAACAAGCAGGAGGAGGAAUGUCUUUAAAGAAAGAGUGAGAUUUUCCAGAGUGCCAAGAGACAGGGAGAGGAGAGGAGAGGAGAGAAGAAGAAGAAGGAGAAGAAGAAGAAGAAGAAGAAGAAGAAGAAGAAGAAGAAGAAGAAGAAGAAGAUAAUGCUAACAAGGAUUUUGGUUUGCUGUGGAUUCAUUUUUUUUGUGCGUGUGACUUCAUGGGAAGAAUUUUUAUAUCACAUCAGAGAAAAAGAAAUAUGGCUUUUCUUCCAUCUGGUGACAUCAUUGACAGGUACUUGAGUUAUAAUUGGGUUAUGAGAUCUCUUCCUUCAAUACUGGCUUAUUACAUGUUGAAGCAUUGUGGAGGAUGUACAUAACUGAUGUGUGUAUUUGAAAGGUAUUUAUUGAUUCUUCAAGUUUGUCUC